UGAGGAAUAUUGGUCAAUGGACGAGAGUCUGAACCAGCCAAGUAGCGUGCAGGAUGACGGCCCUAUGUGUUGUAAUCUUCUUUUGUUUGGGAAUAAUCGACAUUACGUGUAAUGUUUUGCAUGUACCAUUCGAAUAAGGACCGGCUAAUUCCGUUCCAGCAGCCGCGGUAAUACGGAAGGUUCGGGCGUUAUCCGGACUUAUUGGGUUUAAAGGGAGCGUAGGCCGUUUGGUAAGCGUGUUGUGAAAUGUAGGAGCUCAACUUCUAGAUUGCAGCGCGAACUGUCAGACUUGAGUGCGCACAACGUAGGCGGAAUUCAUGGUGUAGCGGUGAAAUGCUUAGAUAUCAUGAAGAACUCCGAUUGCGAAGGCAGCUUACGGGAGCGCAACUGACGCUGAAGCUCGAAGGUGCGGGUAUCGAACAGG
rnacentral:rRNA from 1 species